rnacentral:rRNA from 1 species
AUUGAACGCUCGCGGCAGGCCUAACACAUGCAAGUCGAGCGAGCGGCGGACGGGUGAGUACUGUCUGGGAAACUGCCUGAUGGAGGGGGCUACCUACUUGAAACGGGAGCUAAUACCGCAUACCAUCAGAUGUGCCCAGAUGGGAGUAGCUAGUAGGUGGGGUAACGGCUCACCUAGGCGACGCUACCUAGCUGGUCUGAGAGGAUGACCAGCCACACUGGAACUUAGACACGUUCCAGACUACUACGGGAGGCAGCAGUGGGGAAUAUUGCACAAGGGGCGCAAGCCUGAUGCAGCCAUGCCGCGUGUGUGAAGAAGGCCUGCGGGUUGUAAAGCACUUUCAGCGGGGAGGCGUUACCCGCAGAAGAAGCACCGGCUAACUCCGUGCCAGCAGCCGCGGUAAGAC